GACGAACGCUGGCGGCGUGCCUAAUACAUGCAAGUCGAGCGGACCGAAGGGAGCUUGCUCCUUUAGGUUAGCGGCGGACGGGUGAGUAACACGUGGGCAACCUGCCCUGCAGACUGGGAUAACUUCGGGAAACCGGAGAUAAUACCGGAUAACACCGAAAAACGCAGGGUUUUCGGUUGAAAGGCGGCUUUUAGCUGGCACUGCAGGCUGGGCACGCGGCGCAUUAGCUAGUUGGUGAGGUAACGGCUCACCAAGGCGACGAUGCGUAGCCGACCUGAGAGGGUGACCGGCCACACUGGGACUGAGACACGGCCCAGACUCCUACGGGAGGCAGCAGUAGGGAAUCUUCCGCAAUGGACGAAAGUCUGACGGAGCAACGCCGCGUGUGCGAAGAAGGUCUUCGGAUCGUAAAGCUCUGUUGUCAGGGAAGAACAAGUACCGUUCGAAUAGGGCGGUACCUUGACGGUACCUGACGAGGAAGCCACGGCUAACUACGUGCCAGCCGCCGCCGUAA
rnacentral:rRNA from 1 species